GGCAACAGACUGUCCCCGCCGACUGCGCACGGUGUGGCUGGGCGGCCUCACCGCUCGCCUGAGGGAAGCCGCCUGACUGACCUGCGGGCAGACUACCGCGGGCGUGUUUACUUUUGUACCGAUUGCACGCCGACGUCCCUGGAGGUUAGGGGCCGCCUGGAAACAGGAUUUGCGCCCACAUCCUUGCCCUGGGCCCACUGGGCAGCAGAACUCGUCAGAUAAACGCUGGCAGCCUCCUCCUCCAGCUGCCCGUGUUCAGGCUAAGAAAGGCCCGCCGACUCUCACGGUUCUCCACCCCUCCAGAACCAAAACCUCCGGGGAAAGAAUUAAGGCAGUGGCUCCAGCACGUAUCGAAUCCUACGAGGUGUCACGCGGCAGUAGCAGUUGUUAUCCCAGUUUCCUGGUUGUUUCCUCUGCCUGCAAAGCCUUCCUUCACCGCCUUCCACUCCUCUGGUGUCUCUGCCGCUCAGAGGCCUCCUGCUUUAACCACCUUACUUGAAAUUUGGGCUUGAGUGUGUUUUUGGAGAAGGCUUUGAGGUGAACACACACAGCUGUGUCACGGAGGGAGGGUUGAGAAUCAAAAAUGCAACCGUGAAAAAAAAACAGAGACCAGGUGAUGACGUCAGAGCGCGCCGCCACCCCGUAGGAGGCCUGCAUCACUCCUGCCCAGGCGCUACGGCUACCGCAGCGGGCGCUCCCAGCUCUGGGUCACCUAGGAGUUCCAGGGGAGUGGGCGAUCUGGGGGCUGCGCGGCAAGAGAGGUAUCUGACCAGACUGCAGCAAGCCCUUCAGCCGCUCUACUUCAGCCAGAGUUGACGCAUUUGCUAUAGCAUUCUGGAGGACAGAAAACAACAGAGAAGGACAAUUAAUUGCAUCUAAGUAUCAAUCACCCAGAAAACCUUACAGAAGUCCAUAGCAACUUUUUGAGGUGGAACAUUCAACAGCUCUACUGGGAGAAUUUUAUUGUCACAAUGAGCAAAUGAUUACUGCACAUGUCCUAAAAUUUUAGCUAAUUAAAGCACCUAUGUGGAAUUAUGUUACUGGAUAAUUUAGGAAGCAGUAUUAGGAAACUAGGAUUUCCUACUGAUCAUCAAGCAGAUCUUUCAGACAGCAAAUCUCUGAAAGUAAAAAUUAAGGCAAACAACCGAGACAGCAUACUUCAGUGACUGACCGUUCAAAUACCCUGGGAAAAUGGAAAAGAACUAGAGCUGUCUCUGUGCUGACUGGCUCAUAGAAGCGAUUCACAUCAAAGGUGGCUGAAUAAUCACUUUAAGCUAGUUCCCACCUAACACAGAAAUGGAGCAGGAAUCUAAGUGUGGGGGGUGGAGGGUGGAAACUGCAAUGUUUAGAACUUGGUCUAUUACAUAUUUUGUGUCCUAAACCCAUGGCAACUCUUCUAACACAUUUUUACCUUGAUGGCUUCUACAUCCCCUGGAGACGGCCCACCUUUCUUUUUGUCAGUCGGCAAACCGGCACCUGGGUUGAAACUUGGGAGGGGAGGGAAGAACGUAACUGUUAAAUCCAGACCAAUGGAAAUUGCUUCUCUUUUACUUUCAAAAAGGCUUUUGAAAGUAAUUCAACCAGUGUAGUAUCUUAUCUUUGUUAACAAACUGAUACAAGAAACUCUCUCCUUCAGAAACACCACCCAGUUCAUCUUCCUCUAGAGAAAGCAGGAUAUAUACAGUGUUGCAUUAAGACUGAACACCGGAAGUAUUUGCUAACCUGGUAGAAAUCUCAUGUGAUGUGUGGACCAUUGAAGGUCAUGGGCUAUCAUCACACAAAUUCAAUACUGUAUUAGUCAGUCACAGGUGUUUUGUUUAGUUCUGUAGGAGGCAAAAAGCCAGACAGAUAGUGUUUCUGAAGGUGAAGUGGAGUGAAGUUGGAUAUCCGUAUCUUACGUUUUGCUUCUCCUGGCAAUAUCCUUUGCAAGUUGUGCACCCCGUUUGCCCUUGAACAUUUUCUCUGCUUCCUGACGCUCCUACAGCAACACCACACACAGAGUUAAUGGAAAUAGGAAUACCACAUGCAUUUAGAUGCAUUCCUCAGAAAACACGGAAGAAAACUCUUCUGAAAUACUCGGGGCUGGUAAAAAUACCAAAAAGUCAAUUUCAAAUUAAAAGGAGACACAAUGGCCUUGCUUUGUCUGGUGAAGUUCCCUGAAGAAAGUUCCCCCUCCUAGUUUCAGGGAGGGGCUCUGGAGGAACUAGGAAGGUUUAAAAAGGAAAGAAAAAAAAAACAACAAAAAACAAAAACAGAAACAAAAAACAAGGGAAAACCCACUCCCUGUAAAGGGAAAAUCAUUCUAACAAUUAAAGCUGCUGAAAAAUGGAUUCUAUUAAGCUCCCCAAGGGGGAACAUAUCUUAAGCACAGUCUUGCUGACAGUGCUCACCGCGGCUGAUACUGUACUACGACCUCUGAAUGACCAACACUACUGCACAAGACAGCUUUAACUCAAAGUCCUACUGUAAACUCUGCUAGGAAAAAAAAAAUCUGACUUAACAUUUUGUUUCCCACAUUUUUAUGACAAACCGAUAGUAAAACACAUUCGGCAAUUAAAAAAAAAUCAACAGCAAAAGUAUAAAAUAAAACAUGAACGUAUAAUGACUUACAACCAACAGAAAAUACUUACUUUCAGUUUCACCUUCUGGAAAUCCAGUACUCUGACUUGUGGAACUUUAUAAAUUACAUACAGUCUGUAAUGCUUCUUAUUUGUUACAGGAUUUCUUAGGAUACUGCAAGAAAAGGAAUAGCAAUGCCAGUCUUGUUCAUAGCGUAGCAUUUCAAGAGGUCCAUUUUAAUAAAAUCAAAUGAGUCCAUAA